CAGCGCCACGAGUGGCAAUCGCGAUUAUUGGGCCUAAAGCGUCCGUAGCCGGUUUAGUAAAUCCUUUGUGAAAUCGCCAAGCUUAACUUGGCGGCGCGCAGGGGACACUGCUAAACUCGAGACCGGGAGGAGUUAGAAGUAUUUUGGGGGGAGCGGUAAAAUGCUAUAAUCCCCGAAGGACUACCUAUGGCGAAGGCAUCUAACUAGAACGGAUUUGACGGUGAGGGACGAAAGCCAGGGGAGCGAACCGGAUUAGAGACCCGAGUAGUCC
rnacentral:rRNA from 1 species